CCUACGGGCGGCAGCAGUGGGGAAUAUUGGACAAUGGGGGCAACCCUGAUCCAGCCAUGCCGCGUGUGUGAAGAAGGCCCUCGGGUUGUAAAGCACUUUCAGUGAGGAAGAACGCCUGGUGGUUAAUACCCAUCAGGAAAGACAUCACUCACAGAAGAAGCACCGGCUAACUCCGUGCCAGCAGCCGCGGUAAUACGGAGGGUGCGAGCGUUAAUCGGAAUUACUGGGCGUGAAGCGCGCGUAGGUGGCUUGAUAAGCCGGUUGUGAAAGCCCCGGGCUCAACCUGGGAACGGCAUCCGGAACUGUCAAGCUAGAGUGCAGGAGAGGAAGGUAGAAUUCCCGGUGUAGCGGUGAAAUGCGUAGAGAUCGGGAGGAAUACCAGUGGCGAAGGCGGCCUUCUGGACUGACACUGACACUGAGGUGCGAAAGCGUGGGUAGCAAACAGGAUUAGAUACCCUAGUAGUC
rnacentral:rRNA from 1 species